rnacentral:rRNA from 1 species
GGGGUGCUCGAGUGGCGAACGGGUGAGUAACACGUGAGUAACCUGCCCUUGACUUUGGGAUAACUUCAGGAAACUGGGGCUAAUACCGGAUAGGAGCUCCUGCUGCCUGGUGGGGGUUGGAAAGUUUCGGCGGUUGGGGAUGGACUCGCGGCUUAUCAGCUUGUUGGUGGGGUAGUGGCUUACCAAGGCUUUGACGGGUAGCCGGCCUGAGAGGGUGACCGGCCACAUUGGGACUGAGAUACGGCCCAG